rnacentral:snoRNA from 1 species
CCCCUCUAAGGGUCACAUCAGGAGAGUUUCCAGUACUCUACCAGUCUCGGCUAUGGGAGGGAGAGUCAAGCAGAGGCCUAGCCAUUCCAUUCCUUGCUUGGGCAGUGGCUAGUGAGUGGAAGGCAAUUUGCUACAAGU